CUCCUCUCUUUUCCCACUCCUGUUUUUCCACUCCUAUUUUCCCCAUCUCUCUCUUCCCACUCCUCUCUUUUCCCACUCUUCCCACUCCUCUUUAACCAUUCAUUUCCCCCCCUUAUCUUUCCCUCCAUCUCUCUUUUCCCAUUCCUCUCUUUUCUCAUUUCUCUCUUUUCCCCUCCUCUCUUUUUCCAUUCCUGUUUUUCCACUCCUAUUUUCCCCUCUCUCUUCCCACUCUUCUUUAACCAUUCCUUAUUUUUCCCCCUUAUCUUUUCCCCCUCCUCUCUUUUCCCAUUCUCUCUCUUCCCACUCCUCUCUUUUCCCACUCUUCCCACUCUUCUUUAACCAUUCCUUCUUUUCCCCCCUUACCUUUCCCCCCUCCUCUCUUUUCCCAUUCCUCUCUUUUGCUCCACCUCUCUUUUCCCACUCCUCUCCUUUCCCACUCCUCUAUCUCCCUCUUCUCUUUCCCCCCUUUUCCCAUCCCUGCCUGCUCCCAGUCCCUCCCUUUAUUUCUUUUCCUCUCGCCGUGCCCCGAGGACCAGGACGGACGAGGCAGCCCAGGGAGCAGAGUCCCCUCCUAAUCCCCAAAUCCAUUUUUGGGACAUCAGGGAAGCGAGAAAAGCCGGAGCGGCUGCUGGGACUCCGCUGAUCCGGCGCAAGUUUGGGAAGAGGAGGGGAGGGAUCGCUGUGGGGGCCGCGAUAAUUGUGCCCACAACUGUCCCCACAACUGUCCCCACAACUGUCCCCAAAUUAUCCCCACAACUGUCCCCACAAUUGUCCCCACAACUGUCCCCAAAUUGUCCCCACAAUUGUCCCCACAAUUGUCCCACAACUGUCCCCACAACUGUCCCCACAACUGUCCCCACAACUGUGCCCACAAAUGUUCCCACAACUGUCCCCACAAUUGUCCCACAACUGUCCCCACAAUUGUCCCCACAAUUGUCCCCACAAAUGUCCCCACAACUGUCCCCACAACUGUCCCCACAACUGUCCCCACAACUGUGCCCACAACUGUCCCCACAAUUGUCCCCACAACUGUGCCCACAACUGUCCCCACAACUGUGCCCACAACUGUCCCCACAAUUGCCCCACAAUUGUCCCCACAAUUGUCCCCACAAUUGCCCCACACGUGGCGGUGCCUGUGGGGGUGGAAGGUGCUGUGACAAUGCCACAGGUGCCACCUGCGGCCGCAGCGUCCCCGGGCAGCUCAGCCCAGCCCAGCCCAGCCCAGCCCAGCCCAGUUCAGCUCAGCCCAGCUCAGCUCAGCCCAGCUCAGUUUUCAAU
rnacentral:lncRNA from 1 species